rnacentral:lncRNA from 1 species
GUUUUAAGUAAACUUCUUCAGUUAGCUUUUCAUGCAUGUAGGAAGACAUAUAUCUAUAUGAUAUAGAUUCCACCUCUUUUGAGAAACAUCUGCAAUUAAUAUUCCUGGGGGGUGACAUAUCUACGGCGAAGAUCGCGUUGGGCCAUUAAGACGUCAAGUUGGACGCAAGUAACGUCCCAAAAUCGACGAUUUAGGGUGAAAUAGACGAGUUGAGGGAGAAAUCGCAAGUUCACAGGACUCAGACAACCUUCUCCCAAAAUCAGUGAUUUACAUGAUCCAAUCAGCAAUUAGGAGGGUUGAUUUGGGUCUCGACGUAAACCUUUGGAUCUACUUUCAUGGGAGUCUUCCGGGGUGCGACAUAAAACGAUAGAAACCCUAAUUCCUGUUGAUGGGAAAGACAAGUGUACAAUCCUGUAUCACCACAUAUAUAUAGCAAGACAUAAUAGCAGAAUUCCCAUAAACAUUAUAAGUAUGUACUUAUUGAUCAGGUCAACACCAAAACACAUAAUAGUAGGGUGGAACUAUAGAAUAACAUGGUUACAUGAGAGGUUAGGAUGUGAGUUAAGAGACAAAUAAUAGCAGGGUG